ACACACACACACACACACACACACACACACACACACACACACACACACACACACACACACACACACACAGUCUACAGAGGUGUGUUGACAUCUGGAUCAAUAACCCUGAUCGCCCUUUUUUCCACGUUUGUUGUCAAUAAUCUUGCGACAUCCCAAGAAACCUAUUUUUAAACCGUCGAUUCAGGCUCAUGAUGUAACCAUGACAACGCUGAACCCAAGCGAAGAGACACGGCCUCGACACCGACAUCGAUUUCCUCUCGUCUGGAUUCUUCAGCGACUCCGAGUCAGCUGAUGAGAACAUUUGUCUGGUUUCUUCUGCUUCCGGCUGCUCGGAGAUGUUUUGUGUAAUUAAUGGGAGCAGCCGCAGGUCAGCUGACCUCCACCUGAUCUGCUUAGAGCUCCGAGGUCAGAUUAUCGUCCUGCUCAUCCUCAUUAGUCACAUUGUUGUGAGGAAGUCGAUCCAACGAGGGAAACAAAUCUCUGGAGACGUUUUCAGACAUGAACUCGAGUCUGGAUAUGUUCCUGGAAUGAUCCAGAGGAGCUGAAUGUGAGAACACAAAUGUCAGAUACUCCAGAUGUUCCCAGAACUUUUCCUGCAGCCCCCUGGAAACAUGUCGGAAUUCUAAGUUAGAACAUUUUCCAGAAUCAUGCAGCUCCGAUCUGACACCAGGGAAACAGGUCCCAGGAACCAUCUGAACCUGAAGAAUCUGAGGUGACUGUACUUCUCUCACACUGAACUCGUACCUUGCUCCAGUCGCAGCGACAGCGACCGUCGGGCGGCCUCCACCUCGGACUUGGGUCGGUCCAGAACGUGCCGGCACCACUGCAGAGGAGUGAGGGAGUCGUCUCCGAGCUCCACGGCCUUCGACGACGCGUACAACCUGCAGGGAGGAACUCAGACAGUUAGAAUGUCUGAUUCUGAUUCUGCAGCCGCUUCGUGACCAGAUGAACGAGAGAGGAGGAAUGUUUGUACAAAACUUCCCAGUGAAGCUGCAGAGUUUCAUAUGAACUGUGGACGACACCAGCAAACAGAGCAUUAGAAUAAUCUAACCCAGAGGAAGACGACAUGAAUCUCUCUCAGGCUGGAGGGGAUGAGGAAGAGGAGCGGCUCUGCUCAGAUGAAGUGCAUCAGAUUAUUCUGACAGAACUCCUCCUCCUCCUCCUCUUCAUCCUCCUCCUGGUUUUUACUCUGCAGCAACAUGGAGCAGCUGAAUUAUAGAUGAAAACCUUCCCUGACAUCAGAGCUGGAGAGCCGACAGUAAACAAAGGGAAGACUGUUGCACGUAUAAUUGGCCCCUCUGUGUAAACUGUGGCCCCUUGAUGGCCCCUGACUCUGAACAAUCAUACAUCCCCCCCACCGGAUGUGUGUUUGCGGUGCAGAUGUGCAGCAGGAGCGUGCAGCACCACCCUCCUGCAGGAACAACAGGUUGGGGGUUCGAACACUCACCACGUCUCCUCCUCCUCCGGGCAGCACAGAACCUCCAGGUCCAGCAGCUCCAGCUCGUCCAGCACCGACGGCUCCGCUUCGUCCUCCCCCGGUUCUGAGGCUCCGUCCCCGGCUCCGUGCGGCUGGAAGUAUUCGAAAGGCUCCUCCGGGGGCGAGAGCGACCCGGCGGACGGGAGGCACCGCAGGGCGAGCAGCGGGCCGUGCAGGCGGAACGCCCCGGAGCUCCCGAGCCCGAAGCCCGGGGACGGGCCGCCGGAGCAGCCGCUCGCCCGCAGCUGCUCGUUCUGCAGCUCCAGCCUCCGGACCAGCUGCUGCAGCUUCCUCACCUCCAGCUCCGCCGGCAGACAGUUGCUGUUACAGUCCAGCUCCGGCAGCCCCGCGGCCGGCAGCACCUCCAUGAGCGGUGUGUCCGGGCUGCAGCCGCUUCUCCUCGGUGCGUAGCAGGUGAUCAGCGGCGGAGGAGUCAGGAAUGAUCCGCCGAGUCUGCACCGUCAGCCGGUGUAAACCCGCAGACUCCGCCCCCCCUGCACCGCACAUCACGCACACGUGUCCCAGCCCCGCACACUGAUCCCAGCUGCAGCUGAUGGAGGAAGAGAUCAACGAUCACAUCGAUGAUUCAGGAUCAAUCACAACAAUCAAUCACUGGUGUUGAUGAGCGAAGCAGCAGGUGACGCUCACCUGGGCUGUUUGUGCUGCUUUGGCGACACCUCGUGGCUAAAAGUGGUCAUUGCAACAAACAGUAAAUCUGUAUUUUUGCAGGUUUUGGAAAGUUCAUCACAAUUAAAUCACUUUUCAGACCUGGACUCAUGUUCUAAAACAAGAAGCAGUAUUCAAGUCUCAAUAACCAGCAGGAAAAACAUCAUCCAAGUUUCCAUCCCAGGAUUUAAACGAUAUGUUAUAAAAACUUCUCUGAAAUAAAGUUUAAACUGCGA